AUUGAACGCUGGCGGCAUGCCUUACACAUGCAAGUCGAACGGUAACAGGCCUUCGGGUGCCGACGAGUGGCAAACGGGUGAGUAAUGUAUCGGAACGUACCUUACAGUGGGGGAUAACGUAGCGUAAGUUACGCCAAUACCGCAUAUUCUGUGAGCAGGAAAGCGGGGGAUCGCAAGACCUCGCGCUGAUUGAGCGGCCGAUAUCAGAUUAGCUAGUUGGUGAGGUAAAGGCUCACCAAGGCGACGAUCUGUAGCGGGUCUGAGAGGAUGAUCCGCCACACUGGAACUGAGACACGGUCCAGACUCCUACGGGAGGCAGCAGUGGGGAAUUUUGGACAAUGGGGGCAACCCUGAUCCAGCCAUGCCGCGUGAGUGAAGAAGGCCUUCGGGUUGUAAAGCUCUUUCGGCCGGGAAGAAAUCGUAUCAGCUAAUACCUGGUGCGGAUGACGGUACCGGCAUAAGAAGCACCGGCUAACUACGUGCCAGCAGCCGCAGUAAUAC
rnacentral:rRNA from 1 species